rnacentral:rRNA from 1 species
GACGAACGCUGGCGGCGUGCUUAACACAUGCAAGUCGAACGGAAAGGCCCUGCUUUUGUGGGGUGCUCGAGUGGCGAACGGGUGAGUAACACGUGAGUAACCUGCCCUUGACUUUGGGAUAACUUCAGGAAACUGGGGCUAAUACCGGAUAGGAGCUCCUGCUGCAUGGUGGGGGUUGGAAAGUUUCGGCGGUUGGGGAUGGACUCGCGGCUGAUCAGCUUGUUGGUGGGGUAGUGGCUUACCAAGGCUUCGACGGGUAGCCGGCCUGAGAGGGUGACCGGCCACAUUGGGACUGAGAUACGGCCCAGACUCUUACGGGAGGCAGCAGUGGGGAAUAUUGCACAAUGGGCGGAAGCCUGAUGCAGCAACGCCGCGUGCGGGAUGACGGCCUUCGGGUUGUAAACCGCUUUCGCCUGUGACGAAGCGUGAGUGACGGUAAUGGGUAAAGAAGCACCGGCUAACUACGUG